GAGCCUCCCCCAGCACCCUGCGAGUCGAGAGCUGUCGCAGAGGAGCAGUUAAUUAGCCAAGAUCCCGGGAGCAGCAAGGGUGGCUCAGUGCAGCUCUGCUCCCAGCACUGACAGCUCCAGCUUUGCUCUCCUGUCCUGCCUUGUUUUCACUGAAACUUCCCGGAGCCGUGGAAAACGCACAAUUAGAGGCUGUUAGGUGAUUGAUUCCUGGGCGAAGGGGCCUUUCCUCCUUGCCUGGAAGGUCUGGCAGGUGUUCCACCUGCUGAGUGUUGCUCCCAGCUAGAGGAUCCUGGUGGGAAGAGCAGCACCAGGAACUGUGUGGAAAAAUUCCCCCAGUCUCCUCCUGGACGAAUGCAGCAGAUUUCUGGAUCCAGAAGGGGAAGAUUCCUGCUCUGCUGCUCCAGACUCCUGAGCAUCCACCCAUCCUCCUCAGCCAACCUACUUUGUAUUAACAGCAAUUCAAAUGUUAACAGCUGCUGUCCAUGUUCGUCAAAAAGCAGCUUAAUACAAAUAUAUGAUUAUUGUAUGAGCAUUGUAUAAAAGAUACUUGGUUGUGUCUUAAGCUAAAACAACAAUAUACACUUUUAUCCAAUCCUGAUACGUUUAUAAAUAUAUUUAAAUGGGUAUAAAUAUUUAUAAAUAGUUUCUGUAAUCUUCUGUAAUUAGGCUCUAAGCUCUGUGACAGACAGCAUCUGUUUGAUCUCCGUGUGUGUGUGUGGCAGGUCUCUCCAAUGAAAGUGGCGGAGUCAGGAGAUGCCUCUGAAGGGAGCCGGCUCCUUCCCUUGGGAGGAGGAAACCCGGACCUGGAGCAGGCUUCAGGUGCAGGAAAAGCCGAGCAGAGCUGGGAUUGUGCAGCCAGAGCAGGGGGAUGGAAGAUGAGCAGCCCAGGGCUGGUG